AUUGAACGCUGGCGGCAUGCCUUACACAUGCAAGUCGAACGGCAGCACGGGAGCAAUCCUGGUGGCGAGUGGCGAACGGGUGAGUAAAGUAUCGGAACGUGCCCAGUCGUGGGGGAUAACGUAGCGAAAGUUACGCUAAUACCGCAUACGAUCUAUGGAUGAAAGCGGGGGAUCGCAAGACCUCGCGCGAUUGGAGCGGCCGAUAUCAGAUUAGGUAGUUGGUGGGGUAAAGGCUCACCAAGCCGACGAUCUGUAGCUGGUCUGAGAGGACGACCAGCCACACGGGGACUGAGACACGGCCCAGACUCCUACGGGAGGCAGCAGUGGGGAAUUUUGGACAAUGGGCGCAAGCCUGAUCCAGCCAUGCCGCGUGCAGGAUGAAGGCCUUCGGGUUGUAAACUGCUUUUGUACGGAACGAAAAGGUUUGGCCUAAUACGCUGAACUCAUGACGGUACCGUAAGAAUAAGCACCGGCUAACUACGUGCCAGCCGCCGCGGUAA
rnacentral:rRNA from 1 species